rnacentral:rRNA from 1 species
UUCUGGCUCAGGAUGAACGCUAGCGAUAGGCCUAACACAUGCAAGUCGAGGGGCAGCACAUGAGUAGCAAUACGAUGGUGGCGACCGGCGCACGGGUGAGUAACACGUAUGCAACCUACCUUUAACAGGGGAAUAACCCGUUGAAAAACGGACUAAUACUCCAUAACACAGGGGUCCCGCAUGGGAAUAUUUGUUAAAGAUUAAUCGGUUGAAGAUGGGCAUGCGUUCCAUUAGCUUGUUGGUGAGGUAACGGCUCACCAAGGCCACGAUGGAUAGGGGAACUGAGAGGUUUAUCCCCCACACUGGAACUGAGACACGGUCCAGACUCCUACGGGAGGCAGCAGUGAGGAAUAUUGGUCAAUGGAGGCAACUCUGAACCAGCCAAGUCGCGUGAAAGGAUGAAGGUCUUAUGGAUUGUAAACUUCUUUUGCAAGGGAAUAAAGUGGGGGACGUGUCCUCCUUUGCAUGUACCUUGCGAAUAAGGAUCGGCUAACUCCGUGCCAGCAGCCGC